CCUAUUUAUUUCAAGGUUGGGGAAGACAGCAUCGUUACUGUUCGGGUGGGUUUGAGAAAUGGAGGACUUGCGGAAAGUGGGCAGCAGCAAUGCUAAAUUAAUCUACUGCAUUCGUGCAAUGGUAGACACGUGAGGUUUGAUACAAGAGUCCGUGUUGCUGCAGAAAUUAGCACAAUGUAAAAACGAAAGACGACCACGUGGCCGCCAUGUGCCAGGAGAUCGAAUCCUGCUGUGUGAGGCUGUGGUUGAACCCUAUCAAGCCAGCCUUGUGUGGUGCACAGGAGGCAACACCUUGAUAAGAUGAUUACAGAGCGACCACGUGGAGGGCCAGCCAUGGGAAGCCAUCCGGGGAACACCACCUGUUAAUUCAAUGUGCUCUCAUGAAAUGAAUCCUUGUUACUGUUGUAAUAAAUGAAAGGUCACUGUA